GCCCCAUUAGCUCAGUGGAUAGAGCAGCAGACUUCUAAUCUGUCGGUCGGAGGUUCGAAUCCUCCAUGGGGCG
rnacentral:tRNA from 1 species